rnacentral:rRNA from 1 species
CCUACGGGAGGCAGCAGUGAGGAAUAUUGGUCAAUGGGCGCGAGCCUGCACCAGCCAAGUCGCGUGAGGGAGGACGGCACUACGGGUUGUAAACCUCUUUUGCCGGGGAGCAACGGGCGCCACGUGUGGCGUCACUGAGCGUACCCGGAGAAAAAGCAUCGGCUAACUGCGUGCCAGCAGCCGCUGUACUACGGAGGAUGCGAGCGUUAUCCGGAUUUGUUGGGUGUAAAGGGUGCGUAGGCGGAUCGUUAAGUCAGGGGUCAAAUUGAGGGGAUCAACCCCUUCCAGCCAUUGAAACUGGCGUUCUUGAGUGGAAGAGAAGUAUGCGGAAUGCGUGGUGUAGCGGUGAAAUGCAUAGAUAUCACGCAGAACCCCGAUUGCGAAGGCAGCAUGCCGGCUUCCGACUGACGCUGAAGCACGAAAGCGUGGGGAUCGAACAGGAUUAGAUACCCGGGUAGUC